GACGAACGCUGGCGGCGUGCUUAACACAUGCAAGUCGUACGGUAAGGCCCUUUCGGGGGUACACGAGUGGCGAACGGGUGAGUAACACGUGAGUAACCUGCCCACAACUUUGGGAUAACGCUAGGAAACUGGUGCUAAUACUGGAUAUGUGCUCCUGCUGCAUGGUGGGGGUUGGAAAGCUCCGGCGGUUGUGGAUGGACUCGCGGCCUAUCAGCUUGUUGGUGGGGUAGUGGCCUACCAAGGCGGCGACGGGUAGCCGGCCUGAGAGGGUGACCGGCCACAUUGGGACUGAGAUACGGCCCAGACUCCUACGGGGGGCAGCAGUGGGGAAUAUUGCACCAUGGGCGCAAGCCUGAUGCAGCAACGCCGCGUGCGGGAUGACGGCCUUCGGGUUGUAAACCGCUUUCAGCAGGGACGAAGCUUUUUGUGACGGUACCUGCAGAAGAAGCACCGGCUAACUACGUG
rnacentral:rRNA from 1 species